GGGGGGGGGGGGGGGGGGGGGGGGGGGGGGGGGGGCGGGGGGGUGGGGGGGGCGGGGGCCGGGAUUGGGCGGGGGGGGGGUGAGUAGUGCGUAGGAGGCGGCCUGGUGGUGGGGGAGAGCGUGGGGAAACGGGGGCUUGUACCGCAUACGUCCUGAGGUAGUAAUUGUGGGAUCGUCGGACCUGACGCUAUCAGAUGAGCGUAGGUCGGAUUAGCUAGUUGGUGGGGUAAGGGCCUACCAUGGCGACGAUCCGUAACUGGUCUGAGAGGAUGAUCCGUCACAUGGGAACUGAGACACGUACCAGACUCCGACGGGAGGCAGCAGUGGGGAGUCUUGGACAAUGGACGCAAGCCUGAUCCAGCCAAGACGCGUGUGUGAAGAACGUCUACGGCUUGUAAAGCACUUUCAGUAAGGAGGCAGUGCAGUAAGUUAAUACCUGGCUUUUUGCCGUUACCAACAGAAUAAGCGCCGGCUAACUUCGUG
rnacentral:rRNA from 1 species